UCCUGCAUGGGGCUAAACUUUGA
rnacentral:piRNA from 1 species